UACGGAAGGGGCAAGCGUUGUUCGGAAUCAUUGGGCGUAAAGGGCGCGUAGGCGGUUCUGUAUGUCUACCGUGAAAGCAUACAGCUCAACUGUAUUUUGUCGGUAGAAACUGCAGGACUUGAGGCUGGGAGGGGCUGGUGGAAUUCCCUGUGUAGCGGUGAAAUGCGUAGAGAUGGGGGAGAACACUCGUGGCGAAGGCGGCCAGCUAGACCAGUUCUGACACUGAGGCGCGACAGCGUGGGGAGCAAACAGG
rnacentral:rRNA from 1 species